UACGGAGGGUGCAAGCGUUAUCCGGAAUCAUUGGGUUUAAAGGGUCCGCAGGCGGGAUUAUAAGUCAGUGGUGAAAGCCUACAGCUCAACUGUAGAACUGCCAUUGAUACUGUAAUUCUUGAAUUCGAUCGAAGUGGUCGGAAUAUGACAUGUAGCGGUGAAAUGCUUAGAUAUGUCAUAGAACACCGAUAGCGAAGGCAGCUCACUAGGUCUGGAUUGACGCUCAGGGACGAAAGCGUGGGGAGCAAACAGG
rnacentral:rRNA from 1 species